UUUAUUAUUAUUAUUAUUAUUAUUAUUAUUAUUUUAUUAUUAGAAAAGGAAUUUUUAUUUUUAGUAGGCUAAUUGAAAUAAUUAAAUUUAUUAUAGAGAAUUAGUAUUGUGAAGGAAUUAAUUUUAAUGUAAAGAAGAAAAUUUAAAUUGUACCUUGUGUAUCAGGGUUUAUCAAAUAGAUAAUAGAUUUAAAUAUCUCGAAUUUAAAAGAGUUAAAAUUAAUUAGAUUUUAUUGUAAAAUAAAUAUUUAAAAUUUAAUUUUAGUAAUGAAAUGUUAUUCGUUUUUAAAUAUCUGGUUAUUUUAGAAAAAAAUUAAAUUUUAUUAUAAUUAAAAUAUAUAAUUUAUUUAUAAAUUAUAUAUUUUUUAUAUUAAAUUUUUUUAGGGAUAAGCUUAAAUUAAUAAAAUUAUAAAUAUAAAAUUAUAAUUAAAAAUUAUAGGAUUAGAAGUUUCUAUUAAUAGAAAAAUGUUAUAAUUUAUUUUAGUAAUAAAUAAAUUUUUAUUGAUUUUUAAAUUAUUUAUAAAAUUUUAAAUAAAAAUUUUUUUUAUUUAUAAAUAAUGAUAUAAUUAGUAAUAUUUUAUUUAUAAUUAAUUAAAAAUUUUAGGUUAUGAAAAGGAAUUCGGCAAAUUUAUUUUUUACCUGUUUAUUAAAAACAUGUCUUUUUGUUUAUAAUUUAAAGUCUCGCCUGCCCACUGAGGUUUUAAAUGGCCGCGGUAUUUUGACCGUGCUAAGGUAGCAUAAUCAUUAGUUUUUUGAUUGAAAGCUGGAAUGAAUGGUUGGAUAAGAAAUAUACUGUCUCUUUAUAAAUUUUAAUGAAUUUUAUUAUUAAGUUAAAAGGCUUAAAUAGGUUUUAAAGACGAGAAGACCCUAUAGAGUUUUAUAUAUAUUUAUAUUUAAGUUUUUAGGAUUAAUAUUUUAUUUAUAUAAUUGUAUUUAAUUGGGGUGAUUAGAAAAUUUAAUUAACUUUUUUAUAUUAUAACAUUAAUUUAUGAAUAUUUGAUCCAGUAAGUAUUGAUUAAAAGAAAAAAUUACCUUAGGGAUAACAGCGUAAUUUUUAUAGAGAGUUCUUAUUGAUAUAAAAGAUUGCGACCUCGAUGUUGGAUUAAAAUUUCUUUUUGGUGUAGCAGCUAAUAAAGUGAGUCUGUUCGACUUUUAAAAUUUUACAUGAUCUGAGUUUAAACCGGUGUGAGCCAGGUUGGUUUCUAUCUUUAAAUAAAAUCAAUAUUUUAGUACGAAAGGACCAAAUAUUAAAUAAAUUAUUUAUAUAUGAAUAUUAAUGU
rnacentral:rRNA from 1 species